rnacentral:misc_RNA from 1 species
GAUGAAGAACGCAGUGAAAUGCGAUAAGUAAUGUGAAUUGCAGAAUUCAGUGAAUCAUCGAAUCUUUGAACGCACAUUGCGCCCGCCAGCACUCUGGCGGGCAUACCUGUUCGAGCGUCAUUUCAACCAUCAAGCCCCCAGGGGCUUGUGCUGGGGCCCUGCGGCUGCCCGCAGGCCCUGAAAACCAGUGGCGGGCUCGCUAGUCACACCGAGCGCAGUAGCACAUCUCGCUCAGGGCGUGCGGCGGGCUCCUGCCGUGAAACCCCCCACUGUAACCCCAAAGGUUGACCUCGGAUCAGGUAGGAAUACCCGCUGAACUUAAGCAUAUCAAUAAGCGGAGGA